rnacentral:rRNA from 1 species
AGAGUUUGAUCCUGGCUCAGGAUGAAUGCUGGCGGCGUGCCUAACACAUGCAAGUCGAGCGGCAGCGAGUUUUACACUGAAUUCUGGAAGCUUCUGGGUAAUAUAGAAGAUCUAUUCAAGAAUUUUGUGUAAAAUGUCGGCGAGCGGCGGACGGCUGAGUAACGCGUAGGAAUUUGCCCCAAAGUGAGGAAUAACUGCCCGAAAGGGUAGCUAAUGCCGCAUAUGGUCUUCGGAUUAAAGCCUUCGGGCGCUUUGGGAGAAGCCUGCGUUGGAUUAGGUAGUUGGUAGGGUAAUGGCCUACCAAGCCGACGAUCCAUAGCUGGUCUGAGAGGAUGAUCAGCCAGACUGGAACUGAGACACGGUCCAGACUCCUACGGGAGGCAGCAGUGAGGAAUCUUCCACAAUGGGCGAAAGCCUGAUGGAGCAACGCCGCGUGAAGGAUGAAGGCCUUCGGGUUGUAAACUUCUUUUAUGAGUGAAGAAUAUGACGGUAACUCAUGAAUAAGCACCGGCUAACUACGUGCCAGCAGCCGCGGUCAUACGUAGGGUGCAAGCAUUAUCCGGAGUGACUGGGCGUAAAGAGUUGCGUAGGCGGUUUAAUAAGUGAAUAGUGAAACCUGGUGGCUCAACCAUACAGACUAUUAUUCAAACUGUUAAACUCGAGAAUGGUAGAGGUAACUGGAAUUUCUAGUGUAGGAGUGAAAUCCGUAGAUAUUAGAAGGAACACCGAUGGCGUAGGCAGGUUACUGGGCCAUUUCUGACGCUAAGGCACGAAAGCGUGGGGAGCGAACCGGAUUAGAUACCCGGGUAGUCCACGCCGUAAACGAUGGAUACUAGCUGUUGGAGGUAUCGACCCCUUCAGUAGCGAAGCUAACGCGUUAAGUAUCCCGCCUGUGGAGUACGGCCGCAAGGCUAAAACAUAAAGGAAUUGACGGGGACCCGCACAAGCGGUGGAUUAUGUUCUUUAAUUCGAUGAUAACCGAAGAACCUUACCAGGGCUUGACAUCCAGGGAAGGUCUGCGAAAGUAGACUGUGCCUUUUGGAACCCUGUGACAGGUGAUGCAUGGCCGUCGUCAGCUCGUGUCGUGAGAUGUUAGGUUAAGUCCUUCAACGAGCGCAACCCUUGUGAAUAGUUGUAUUUUUCUAUUCAGACUGCCCCGGUAACGGGGAGGAAGGAGGGGAUGAUGUCAGGUCAGUAUUUCCCU